GAUGAAGAACGUAGCGAAAUGCGACAAGUAAUGUGAAUUGCAGAAUUCAGUGAAUCAUCGAAUCUUUGAACGCACAUUGCGCCCGCCAGUAUUCUGGCGGGCAUGCCUGUUCGAGCGUCAUUUCAACCAUCAAGCCCCAGGCUUGUGUUGGGGACCUGCGGCUGCCGCAGGCCCUGAAAACCAGUGGCGGGCUCGCUGUCACACCGGGCGUAGUAGAUUUUAUCUCGCUCAGGGCGUGCUGCGGGUUCCGGCCGUUAAAAAGCCUUUUUUACCCAAGGUUGACCUCGGAUCAGGUAGGAAGACCCGCUGAACUUAAGCAUAUCAAUAAGCGGAGGA
rnacentral:misc_RNA from 1 species